AACGAACCCUGGCGGCAUGCCUAACACAUGCAAGUCGAACGAAGCCUUCGGGCUUAGUGGCGCACGGGUGCGUAACGCGUGGGAAUCUGCCCUUGGGUUCGGAAUAACAGUUAGAAAUGACUGCUAAUACCGAAUGAUGUCUUCGGACCAAAGAUUUAUCGCCCAAGGAUGAGCCCGCGUCGGAUUAGCUAGUUGGUGAGGUAAAGGCUCACCAAGGCGACGAUCCGUAGCUGGUCUGAGAGGAUGAUCAGCCACACUGGGACUGAGACACGGCCCAGACUCCUACGGGAGGCAGCAGUGGGGAAUAUUGGACAAUGGGCGAAAGCCUGAUCCAGCAAUGCCGCGUGAGUGAUGAAGGCCUUAGGGUUGUAAAGCUCUUUUACCCGGGAUGAUAAUGACAGUACCGGGAGAAUAAGCCCCCGGCUAACUCCGUGCCAGCAGCCGCGGUAA
rnacentral:rRNA from 1 species